rnacentral:lncRNA from 13 species
AUGUCGUUGUUCUGUGUUAGGUUACACAAGUAUAGGCUGUUUCGGUUUUCGUUAAGUUUAUUGUUUGAUAGUGUUUGUGUUUAUUCAUUAAACAUGGAUUGCAAUAGACACGCCGCAUUUUGGUCCGACUCUCCUUCUCAUCAAGAAAACCGUUACACCAAGUGGUCUCACACAUGUCCAAAGUGUGCGCUGUUCCUUGGAAAUUUCAAUGCACUUUUAUCACUCAAAGAAGAGUCUUCAACUAAAAGGUACUUUUUUGAGCUCUCCAUGCUGUGCCGUUGAGAAACUAGAGCAAGCACACAUGUAGUUGGUUAAUUUGGAAAACAACCCUGUCCAUUAUAAAUCUCAAUCUGGGUCAGGUAGGCAUGAUUUGAGAGCUUAUUCUAUUGCCAACAUGACUAGUUAGCUAAGUUAUAAAAUACAAUCUUACAGUGUUAGGCCUUCAGAAGGCAGUUCCGAGCAUAGAAAGGAGUCAUGAGUGCAUUCUGGUGCCUGUUCCGCAGCAGAUUUUCUUCACAAUAAACAAACAGACUAAUUCUGUUCAGAACAACCUAUGGUAUGACAUCAUCUCAUCUUGUAACUGUACAUCUAACAUAGUGAUCAUAAACGUUGACACUAUAUGAUUUGAAAAAGGGAAGUGCACAUUUGGGUGGUGUUUGGCUUGCUUGUAUGACAUCAAAGCAAUAUUUAUUAUAAUCCUCCACGUCUCAUCUUUCAAAAUACAUAUAGUCUUCUUAAUUUACAGUAUUUCCCUCACUUAGACAACCCAGAAUUUGCAAAAGUUGCCCAAUUAGCGAGAGGGAUGGGGGCAACUUCUCGCACGCAGUGCUCAAUUUCAGAACGCCUGUCAGUCAAAACCCAUACAGAGCUGUGAAGCGCAGAGUCAGAGCUGUGAUGUGUAUAGCACCUUACUGUGCAGCCACUGCGUUACAAUUUAGGCGCUUAUUAGUGCCAAAAUCUGCCAUUUUAAACCUGUAUAAGGGUACGAGGGUGAAGGGCGAAGAUGGCACACAGACAAUGGGGAGGAGGUGAGAAAUAUGAGGAGAAAGUAUGGAAAGGGAGACUAAGACUGGGGCCUAAAGAAUGGAGUGAAAGAGAAGGUGUGCUUUUAGGACACAUAGUCUUUCCAUGACAGACUGACCAGGUGCAUCCAGGUGAAAGCUAUGAUGCCUUAUUAAUGUAAUCUGUUACAUCCACUUCAGUCAGAGGAGAUGAAGGGAAGGAGACAGGUUAAAUAAGGAUGUUUAUUAUCCUUUAGACAGUUAAGACCUGGAUUGUGAAUGUAUGCCGUACAGAUGGUGAGUGGACAAGACAAAAAUCUUUAAGUGCCUUUGAAUGGGGUAUCAUAGUAGGUGCCUGGCGCACUGGUUUGAAUGUGUAAAAAACUGCAACACUGCUGGGUUUUUCACGCUAAACAGUUUCCUGUGUGUAUCAAGAAUGGUCCACCACCCAAAGGACAUCCAGCCAACUUGACACAACUGUUGAAAGCAUUGAGAGUCAACUUGGGCCAGCAUCCCUGUGGAACGCUUUUGGCACCUUGUAGAGUCCAUGCCACGACAAAUUGAGGCUGUUCUUAGGGCAAAGGGGGUGGGCAACUUGAUAUUCGGAAGGUGAUCCCAAUGUGCUUCACACUCAGUGUAUAAUCAUGACUUAUUUAGACCUGGUAACCAAGUGAGGGUGCUCUCUGGCCUAUCAAUGUUGUUUUUGGAUAGAGAGCCAGGGAGAAGAGGAACAACCAGACAAUACAGUCUGCAUAUGUGGAGCCCGAAUUUUAGGGUUGGUCACCCUUUGACAGGACUGCAUCACAUGACAGAUGUUUAAAACCUGAUACGGCUAGACAUUCCCCUAGCGGAACGUUUCGACAACAUCUGGUGAAAUUGCAGAGCACGAAAUUCAAAUUAAAUUAUUCAAAAUAUUUAACUUUCAUAAAAUCACAAGUGCAAUACACCAAAAUAAAGCUUGACUUCUUGUUAAUCCAGCCGCCGUGUCAGAUUUCAAAAAGGCUUUACGGCAAAAGCAAACCAUACGAUUAUCUGAGGACAGCGCCUCAUCAUACAAAUGCAUGACAAAUCAUUUUCAACCAGGGAGGUGUGACACGAAAGUCAGAAAUAACGAUAUAAUUCAUGCCUUACCUUUGAAGAUCUUCUUCUGUUGGCACUCCAACAUUUCCCAUAAACAUCACAAAUGGUCCUUUUUUCGAGAAAUUCCUUUGUUAUAUCCCCAAAAUGUCCAUUUAUUUGACGCGUUUGAUUCAGAAAUACAUCGGUUCCAACUCGCCCAACAUGGCUACAAAUGAUCUAAUAAGUAAACUUGGUCCUAACAUUUCAAACAACUUUCCUAAUCCAACUUUAGGUAUCCUAAAACGUAAAUAAUCAAUACAAUUUAAGACGGAAUAGACUGUGUUCAAUAGCGGAUAAAAUCAAAGUGGAGCGAGUUCCAGUUCGUGCGCACCAAACAAAAGAGUCCACUUGGCUUGACACUCAGUCUGAACAGCCCUACUUCUUCCUUUCUCAAAGGAAAAACAUCAACCAAUUUCUAAAGACUGUUGACAUCUAGUGGAAGCCAUAGGAACUGCAACCAGGUGCCUCAUAAAUCUAGUUUCCCAUAGAAAACUAAUAGAAACAAUGGAGAAAAAAAAAAUCCUGGAUGGUUUGCCCUCGGGGUUUCACCUGCCAAAUAAGUUUUGUU